AUCCAGCUGACGAGUCCCAAAUAGGACGGAACGCGCGACCUGGAU
rnacentral:hammerhead_ribozyme from 1 species